rnacentral:rRNA from 2 species
UUUCCAGAGAUGGAUUGGUGCCUUCGGGAACCGUGAGACAGGUGCUGCAUGGCUGUCGUCAGCUCGUGUUGUGAAAUGUUGGGUUAAGUCCCGCAACGAGCGCAACCCUUAUCCUUUGUUGCCAGCGAUUAGGUCGGGAACUCAAAGGAGACUGCCAGUGAUAAACUGGAGGAAGGUGGGGAUGACGUCAAGUCAUCAUGGCCCUUACGACCAGGGCUACACACGUGCUACAAUGGCGCAUACAAAGAGAAGCGACCUCGC